GGGCGAUUAGCUCAGUUGGCUAGAGCGCCACGUUUACACCGUGGAAGUCACAGGUUCAAGUCCUGUAUCGCCCA
rnacentral:tRNA from 1 species